AAGGGCACCACGGGGCUGGGAGCCUGCGGCUUGUUUUGACUCGCACGGGGAACCUCAACCGGCCCGGACACUGACAGGAUUGACAGAUUGAGAGCUCUUUCUCGAUUCAUUGGGUGGUGGUGCUUGGCCGUACUUAGAUGGCGAAGUGAUUGGCCUGGUUAAUUCGGAUAACGAACGAGACUCUGGCCUACUAACUAGUCGCCGGGUCUUCCCCUCCUGGCCGCCCGGCAAAUCUUCUUGCCGGGGCCAGCGACGCCCAGCCACACCAUGAGGAUGGAUCCCCCGGGUGUGAUGCCCAUAAAUGUUCCGCGACCGUUCCCCGCUACACUGAAGGGCUUGACGGGGCUUUCCCCCUCCGAGAGGAGGGAGACCCCCCGCUAAACCCCUUCGGGAUGCUACUUGGGGCAUGCCGAUCUUCCCAAUGAACAAGGGCUUCAGGAGGCGCUGGAGUCAUCGGCUUGCUUCGAUUACAUCCCUGCCCUUUGUGAACACCGCUCCUCGCUACUACAGAUCGAAUGA
rnacentral:rRNA from 1 species